UUAACUAUCAUAUAGUGCUCAGACGACGCUAACAUUCAGUGUUUGUGGAGCCUCUGGCGGGCACGCACCGGCUGGCGCCGGCGGCCGGGCUGGGGCCCGGCGGCCCGCCAAAGCAACGACGGUAGUGAUCACAGUGGGUGGGAGGUCUACCCGCGAGGGCGAGAACUCGGUAAUGAUCCCUCCGCAGGUUCACCUACGGAAA
rnacentral:misc_RNA from 1 species